CUUGGGGGCAGCCUGGCUCAGUGUGCGAGGAGCCAUGGGUUAUACUGGCCCAGAUAGCAGGCUUCCUCACUUCACAUCCUGUUGGCUUUCCUCAGCCAUGUGCCAAGGCUGUUCUGGGAUUUCUCCACCAAGGCUUUGUCUGUUGCCUUUACUGUUCCCAACAUUCUUCUGCCAUGCCACGAAUAACACAUCAUUCACUCAGCACAUUAGGAAAAGUGACUUUCCUGUGGUGGGUGGAGAUUUUAGGGGUCAUCUGUAUUUGUAUACAAGUCCAGUCUCUCUAAUUCAUUUCAGGUUGAACUGCUUGUUAUGCUGCUGUUCAAAUGGCUUUUGUGAGAGGUGCAAGAGAACGCCCUCUCUCUCAGCCUUUCUCAUCCAUUCAUUCAACAAAUACUUAUUUACUGAGACUGCGUCCUCCCCAAGCCCUGCUCCCGGACACAGCUCCAGUCUCUUUCAGUGCGUUCCUACGUUUCUUCACAUCCUCCCACUCUGGGAUCGCCAGUUCCUUUUUUUUUUUUUUUUCACUUUCACAUGCGGAUAUUAUUUAAAAAAAAAAUGUGGUAACAGAUCUAGAACCUUUGGCAAGCUAACGAAUGAGAAAUCUAAAUAUGAAUAAUAAACUUUGCCCUGCAUGGUGAUUACCGUCCGGUAUUUGCUGUGAGAGCAGUUGAACUCCU